GCACUCGUAGCUCAGCUGGAUAGAGUACCCGGCUACGAACCGGGCGGUCGCUGGUUCGAAUCCAGCCGAGUGCA
rnacentral:tRNA from 1 species